rnacentral:lncRNA from 1 species
CAUUAUAUGCAUUGUAAAAUUAGCACAAAGAAUACAAUACAUUGCAGAAAUCUAUCCUUCCAGUACAAUAAUGGCUGCCGAUAUUUACACUCAUUAGUUCAAGAAACCUAUAAAGAUCGCAGAAUUUACCAUCUAAACAACAAGAAAAACAUUUAGAGAUUAUAACGCUAUCACGAGAUCAAAACUGCGAAAUUAGAACGGAACAAGAAAAUAUCUUCCAUACCUUCGGCCGGAGAUUCGUCGGGAGAAGCGGUUGGAGGAGAGGGUGCGGAGGACGCCGAAUGCUGGACCGCCGCCACCGGAGAGGAGGGAGGAGGGGACAAAGGUCGGCGCUCAGGAAAUCCUAGAAACCCUAGGUUUUGGAGAGCGUGGAGGCGGAGGAGGGAGGAGCUAGGGUCGGCUAGGGCUUGAUAUCGAUCGAGGAUGGGGGAGAAGGGGGCGGCCGCUGGGUUUUGUUUAGAAUUAGGAUUUCGACGACGCGAAUACGCGUCGUCUUAGGUUCUACAAUACAACGAUGCUAAUUAGCGUCGUAUAUUGCCGACGCUUUUUAAAAGCGUCGAGCUUUUUAGGCGCUACAAAGGAAAUCGCCGAUGCUUGUAUAAAGCGUCGGCAAAAAAGCGUCGGCUGAAACCAAUUUUGCUGUAGUGUAUGUAGGAUCAAAAUAGAUGCAAGAAGUUAUUACUUUGUACCUUUUUUUUAUUUUUUUUAAUGAAAUAACUCUACUUUGUACUGUAAAAGCAAGAUAUGGGAUAUUACAAUUUUGCUGCUGGGUCAAUGCUGAAUUUAGCUUAUCAAAAAUAAUUCUACCAUAAAUAUUUCACCAUCUCAGCAACUUUUGCUUGCAUUAAAUAAAUUUAUUGGUGAGGGAUGAUGUUGUUAUUAUGGUGGUAAUAAUACUCAGAUAAUUCAAUUUAUUUAUUUUUUUAAAUAUGACCUAUGUG